rnacentral:rRNA from 1 species
AUGACGCAUGCGCCAGAGUCAGAUAUUGCGACACCGUGGACGCUCCCGACCGAUCUCUUGCUUGAGAUCGUGGCACGCUCCGACCUACCCACGCUCAUCCGCAGCGCCGCAGUCUCCAAGCACCUCCGCCGUGAUAUCCUCAGCCCGCCGUUCAUCCACCGCGUCGCCAACCAAGUGGCUCCCAGCAUCCUCGCCUACUGCACCACCAAUGACGAGGAACCCUUGACUCUGGUCCACCCGGUCACAUCUGCCAUCUCGUCCUUUUGCCACGACUACCUCUUGCCCUACAUGUCACGCCGCGCCACCAAGCUCUUUAAUUGGUACUUUCCGGUGACGUCCCGCGGCGGCCUUGUGGUCCUCUGCCACAUACUACACACCGACAUGCGAUCCGAGUCCGAGUUCUCCUCCGACCUGUGCGUGUAUGACCCUAUGACUAACCACCACACCUUCCUCUCAAAACCGCCUAUGUGGAGUACCCGGAACAACUGGCAGCACAUGUUGCUCACCGCCGCGGAUGGCAUUAGCUGCUCCUUCAUGCUGCUCUUCUUCGUCGAUCUAAAAGGAUGGAAAAUCAAAGUACAUGCCAUCACAUCCUCCUCUGGUGCCUGGGAGCCUGUGUCCUCUCACAUGAGCGACCUCGACAUUUCAUGGAUGUCCAUCAAUAAGUGCAGCGCCCCAGCCGUCCUCCAUGGUGGCAUCAUCCACUGGCUUGUGAACAACGGUGACCAAAUCAUCACAUACGAUGUGGGCACGGGGGCUUCUGGAUGGGUGAAUCUUCCACCCACCAACCACAAAGGAAGCCAUCUCCACUUGGCAACGUCACCCGAUGGAAACCUAUUGAAACUGCUUUGCAUAGAUGGGUACAAGAUAUCAGUGUGGCUACAACUCCCUAAAGUCCCAUCAGGUGGUGGUUGGUUGCCGGAAAAUGUGAUCGACAUUGAGGACAUACUACGACCAAUGUGCCUAGACACCCCUCGUAACGGUGGCAAUGUAGUCGUUCAGUUCCAAGGCUUCGGGAAGAGGAGCGGAGACGUGGUGCUGCUGAAGGUACCCAAGAAUGUUUCAUGUGUAGUUCUUGAUUUGGAGACGAAGGAGAUGCAUAUCCAAAAGAGGGGCUCCUCGUUGCUGGAGAUCGACCUAUCAUAUCACCUAAAAACCCUGAAAGCUUUCUCCUAG